rnacentral:lncRNA from 1 species
UGCGACAAUUCUGAUGUUCUAUUCAUUUGAAUGCAUUUGUGUGUCUUUUCAGAAGAAAAAAUCAGUUCAUAAAAAGUGUGAGUGAGCUACAUAAAACUAGUUCCUCUUCACAAAAAGCGUCAUAUCUACAAGUGAAUAUCUGCUUUUAGGACAUGUGCCUUAGCGGGGAAACCACCCAAGGUGGUGGCUAAGGCCCCAGGAGGGCUGUCCUUUCCUCAAAGAUAGCGGCUGGAGCAUCCCGACUCUUGAGCACAAGGCAAUUCCUG